rnacentral:tRNA from 1 species
GUCCCCGUAGCUCAAAUGGAUAGAGCAGGCGUUUCCUAAACGUCUGAUCCCAGUUCAAUUCUGGGCGGGGGCACCA